UUUAAAUGCAACCAUAAGUUUCCGUGCUCAACUUUGAUCGUCUGUAUUAUUUGAAAUUUUUUUAUAAUUAGUAUUUUUAUUGUUAUGAGAUGAUAAAACAUCAAUAGUACAUGGCUUAUGCUUUUAAUUUUUUUAAUUUUUUUUAAAUAAAAUGGACGAUCAAAGUUGGACAUGAAAAAUCAUAGCUACACUUAAA
rfam:Oryza meridionalis cultivar OR44 (W2112) chromosome 12, whole genome shotgun sequence.